CGGAUUGCAGGCUGCAACCCGCCUGCAUGAAGCCGGAAUCGCUAGUAAUCGCGGAUCAGAAUGCCGCGGUGAAUACGUUCCCGGGUCUUGUACACACCGCCCGUCACACCAUGGGAGUCGAUAACGCCCGAAGUCAGUGACCCAACCGAAAGGAGGGAGCUGCCGAAGGCGGGAUGGAUAACUGGGGUGAAGUCGUAACAAGGUACC
rnacentral:rRNA from 1 species